rnacentral:rRNA from 1 species
UAGGGAAUCUUCGGCAAUGGGGGCAACCCUGACCGAGCAGCGCCGCGUGAGUGAAGAAGGUUUUCGGAUCGUAAAGCUCUGUUGUAAGUCAAGAACGAGUGUGAGAGUGGAAAGUUCACACUGUGACGGUAGCUUACCAGAAAGGGACGGCUAACUACGUGCCAGCAGCCGCGGUAAUACGUAGGUCCCGAGCGUUGUCCGGAUUUAUUGGGCGUAAAGCGAGCGCAGGCGGUUUGAUAAGUCUGAAGUUAAAGGCUGUGGCUCAACCAUAGUUCGCUUUGGAAACUGUCAAACUUGAGUGCAGAAGGGGAGAGUGGAAUUCCAUGUGUAGCGGUGAAAUGCGUAGAUAUAUGGAGGAACACCGGUGGCGAAAGCGGCUCUCUGGUCUGUAACUGACGCUGAGGCUCGAAAGCGUGGGGAGCGAACAGGAUUAGAUACCCUGGUAGUCCACGCCGUAACGAUGAGUGCUAGGUGUUGGAUCCUUUCCGGGAUUCAGUGCCGCAGCUAACGCAUUAAGCACUCCGCCUGGGGAGUACGACCGCAAGGUUG